rnacentral:rRNA from 2 species
CCUACGGGAGGCAGCAGUGGGGAAUUUUGGACAAUGGGGGCAACCCUGAUCCAGCAAUGCCGCGUGAGUGAAGAAGGCCUUCGGGUUGUAAAGCUCUUUUGUCAGGGAAGAAACAGCAGCUCUAACACAGUCUGCGAAUGACGGUACCUGAAGAAUAAGCACCGGCUAACUACGUGCCAGCAGCCGCGGUAAUACGUAGGGUGCGAGCGUUAAUCGGAAUUACUGGGCGUAAAGCGUGCGCAGGCGGUUAUACAAGACAGGCGUGAAAUCCCCGGGCUUAACCUGGGAAUGGCGUCUGUGACUGUAUAGCUAGAGUGUGUCAGAGGGGGGUGGAAUUCCACGUGUAGCAGUGAAAUGCGUAGAUAUGUGGAGGAACACCAAUGGCGAAGGCAGCCCCCUGGGAUAACACUGACGCUCAUGCACGAAAGCGUGGGGAGCAAACAGGAUUAGAUACCCUGGUAGUCCACGCCCUAAACGAUGCUGACUAGUUGUUGGGAAUUUACAUUCUCAGUAACGUAGCUAACGCGUGAAGUCAGCCGCCUGGGGAGUACGGUCGCAAGAUUAAAACUCAAAGGAAUUGACGG